GGGGACUUCCUGCCACCACAGCAGUUGGCUCCCGGGAGGUAGCUCCAGCCAGUAUAGGACCCUGGGAAAGGCGUUUGCUCCCUCCCUAAGUGCCGAGGGGGAGGGAGAGGCCGCCCUCAGAGUCCAGCUGGAGGCGGAUUAAAGAACUUGACUGCUCACCAGGAAUUCGGGUCCUUAAGAUCUUGGCGCUUCAUCCUUAAAACCGUACAGAGCUGAUUGUUUCCAGAUCCUGACACGGUGACAUUCCUCCCUCCAAAUGUUGGCCUCGUCCCAGACAUCUUUUCAAGAAUCGCAAUUAAGAGAUUGAAAAUAAAAUACAUAAAUUAAAUAUCA